GCAGUCGUGGCCGAGUGUUUAAGGCGAUGGACUAGAAAUCCAUUGGGGUCUCCCCGCAUAGUUCGAAUCCUGUCGACUGCG
rnacentral:tRNA from 1 species